AAAAUUGUUAGAUAAAAACCAGAAUGUGUCCCCAGUACACGGAUACCCCAUCGGCACUAUCUUUUUCUUAGUUAAUUGGACCGUGAAAAUGGGGGGAAAUCUCUAAUUUGGCAUUUAAAUUAGAAGUUCAUAUCAUAGGAAACAUGUGUACUAAGUUUCAAGAUUGAACUUCAACUUCAUGAAAAACUACCUCGCCCAAAAAAUUUAAACUGAAACAGGACGGAUGAACGGACGAACGAAAGGACGGACGCAUAGACCAGAAAAUAUAAUGCUCAUAAAUGCGGCAUAAAAACAAAAACAAUGUAAUUUCAUAAAUUUUCGGUGGCAUAAUCAAAUGACUAAGAAAUAGAUUUGCACAGAUAUAGAUUCAAUGGUUUAUUAUAGUCUCACC
rnacentral:lncRNA from 1 species